rnacentral:rRNA from 1 species
GAUGAACGCUGGCGGCGUGCCUAAUACAUGCAAGUCGAGCGAACGGACGAGAAGCUUGCUUCUCUGAUGUUAGCGGCGGACGGGUGAGUAACACGUGGAUAACCUACCUAUAAGACUGGGAUAACUUCGGGAAACCGGAGCUAAUACCGGAUGAUAUUUUGAACCGCAUGGUUCAAAAGUGAAAGACGGUCUUGCUGUCACUUAUAGAUGGAUCCGCGCUGCAUUAGCUAGUUGGUAAUGUAACGGCUUACCAAGGCAACGAUGCAUAGCCGACCUGAGAGGGUGAUCGGCCACACUGGAACUGAGACACGGUCCAGACUCCUACGGGAGGCAGCAGUAGGGAAUCUUCCGCAAUGGGCGAAAGCCUGACGGAGCAACGCCGCGUGAGUGAUGAAGGUCUUCGGAUCGUAAAACUCUGUUAUUAGGGAAGAACAUAUGUGUAAGUAACUGUGCACAUCUUGAUGGUACCUAAUCAGAAAGCCACGGCUAACUACGUG